AUGAUGGUCUACGAAAUCCACUCCCAUGCCCAAAUCCAAGACCUGCAGGCCCGCUCCGAUGAGCUGGGCCACUCCAAAGACAUACAGCUUGUGAAUCUUGUCUCUUUGGAGUCGGUGCGCAUAGCGUGCGAGUCGUAUGAACUCCUCUGCCCGGUGAUCGAGGAGUUUGUGUUCUUGGCAUGCCCGGAGCUGGAAAACCUCUCGGUCGUGGCACGCUUGUCGCUGGAAAUCCAAAUGCUCGAGCAUGAUGUGUUACCCCAGCUCAAGGUUCAGGAAGCCAAGCUGGAACAGGGCGCCCUGGAAGCCCUCCUACUCAUGAAGAACUGA
rnacentral:rRNA from 1 species